rnacentral:rRNA from 1 species
UACGUAGGGUGCGAGCGUUAAUCGGAAUUACUGGGCGUAAAGCGUGCGCAGGCGGUUUUGUAAGACAGGGGUGAAAUCCCCGGGCUUAACCUGGGAACUGCGCUUGUGACUGCAAGACUCGAGUACGGCAGAGGGGGGUAGAAUUCCACGUGUAGCAGUGAAAUGCGUAGAGAUGUGGAGGAAUACCGAUGGCGAAGGCAGCCCCCUGGGUCGAUACUGACGCUCAUGCACGAAAGCGUGGGGAGCAAACAGG